GAUAUCUCUAGGACGCAGAAGGUCAAAUAACCUAACUCCCUCCUAGUUCGCUGAGAAAUUUCUCCUCUUCUCUGUUCUCCACAGGCUGGUUGAACCUUACGUCCAGUACUUUUCAUGUAUCAAAACAUCCACCUGGGAAAGGACAUCUGAGAAAUUGGAGCCUGAAUAGACUGGAUGUCAGGAGCUGUGAUGGAGGAAUUUGUGAGUUUAUGAUUUCUGAAGUUUCAAGUGUGACCUCUACACAACUGAGGAAACUCAGCCUCUCAGUACAUAGUUGUAUAUUCUAGUUGUGGGUCCUUCUGGUUGUGCUAUGUGGGACACCACCUCAGCAUGGCCUGAUGAGCAGUGCCACUCUGCGCCCAGAUCGGAACUGGUGAAACCCC
rnacentral:lncRNA from 1 species